rnacentral:rRNA from 1 species
GACGAACGCUGGCGGCGUGCUUAACACAUGCAAGUGGAGCGACGAACCAGGCUUCGGCCUGGGGCAGAGCCGCGAACGGGUGAGUAACACGUGGGUAACCUGCCUCGAUGACCGGGACAACCCGAGGAAACCCGGGCUAAUACCGGAUGUGCUCCUUCACAUCAGUGAAGACAGGAAAGGAAGCUUCGGCCUCCGCAUCGAGAUGGGCCCGCGGCCCAUUAGCUUGUUGGUGAGGAACGGCUCACCAAGGCUGCGAUGGGUAGCUGGUCUGAGAGGACGAUCAGCCACACUGGGACUGAGACACGGCCCAGACUCCUACGGGAGGCAGCAGUGGGGAAUCUUGCGCAAUGCGCGAAAGCGUGACGCAGCAACGCCGCGUGGGGGAAGACGGCUUUCGGGUU